rnacentral:lncRNA from 1 species
CGCGUCUUCUGAUUGGCUGACGUUAUUUUGUUAUCAGACCAUAGACAUAAUUUAGUCAUGUGACCGUGACGUCAUCAACGUUUUUUCAAGGUUUUCUAUGUAUACGGUUUAAAAUGGAAUUAAGAAUUAAAUUAUAAGAAAUGACUGUAAUAUUUUUUCUGUCUAUUCGAAAUAACAUAAAAAAUGUGGUGCACACUGUUAAAUAACCCGCUACACGCG